rnacentral:tRNA from 1 species
AUUUACAUAAUUAAAGUUUAGAAUAUUGCACUGAAGAUGCAAAAGUGGUUGAGGCCUGUAAAUA